AAUUUUCCGCAAUGGACGAAAGUCUGACGGAGCGACGCCGCGUGGGGGAAGAAGGCCUUCGGGUUGUAAACCUCUGUCCUCAGGGACGAAGAGGGUGUAGUACUACACCGAAGACAGUACCUGAGGAGGAAGCCCCGGCUAACUACGUGCCAGCAGCCGCGGUAAUCCGUAGGGGGCAAGCGUUGUCCGGAAUUAUUGGGCGUAAAGGGCGCGUAGGCGGUAGGAUAAGUUAGGCGUGAAAGCCCUCAACUCAACUGGGGGAUUGCGUCUAAAACUGGUUUACUUGAGUGCAGGGGGGGAAAGCGGAAUUCCCGGUGUAGCGGUGAUAUGCGUAAAAAUCGGAAGGAACACCAGUGGGGAAGGCGGCUUUCUGGCCUGGAACUGACGCUGGGGCGCGAAAGCUGGGGGAGCAAACA
rnacentral:rRNA from 1 species